rnacentral:rRNA from 1 species
AGCGAACGCUGGCGGCAGGCUUAACACAUGCAAGUCGAGCGGGCACUUUCGGGUGUCAGCGGCGGACGGGUGAGUAACGCGUGGGAACGCGCCCUCUGGUUCGGAAUAACUCAGGGAAACUUGAGCUAAUACCGGAUACGCCCUUUUGGGGAAAGGCUUGCUGCCGGAGGAUCGGCCCGCGUCUGAUUAGCUAGUUGGUGAGGUAACGGCUCACCAAGGCGACGAUCAGUAGCUGGUCUGAGAGGAUGAUCAGCCACACUGGGACUGAGACACGGCCCAGACUCCUACGGGAGGCAGCAGUGGGGAAUAUUGGACAAUGGGCGCAAGACUGAUCCAGCCAUGCCGCGUGAGUGAUGAAGGCCUUAGGGUUGUAAAGCUCUUUUAUCCGGGACGAUAAUGACGGUACCGGAGGAAUAAGCCCCGGCUAACUUCGUG